UACGUAGGGGGCAAGCGUUGUCCGGAUUUACUGGGCGUAAAGAGCGUGUAGGCGGCCAAACAGGUCCGUUGUGAAAACUGGAGGCUUAACCUCCAGACGUCGACGGAAACCGUAUGGCUAGAGUCCGGAAGAGGAGAGUGGAAUUCCUGGUGUAGCGGUGAAAUGCGCAGAUAUCAGGAAGAACACCAAUGGCGAAGGCAGCACUCUGGGACGGUACUGACGCUGAGACGCGAAAGCGUGGGGAGCGAACAGG
rnacentral:rRNA from 1 species